rnacentral:rRNA from 1 species
GCUCGCCGGAAGACCAAGGGUUCCUGUCCAACGUUAAUCGGGGCAGGGUGAGUCGACCCCUAAGGCGAGGCCGAAAGGCGUAGUCGAUGGGAAACAGGUUAAUAUUCCUGUACUUGGUGUUACUGCGAAGGGGGGACGGAGAAGGCUAUGUUGGCCGGGCGACGGUUGUCCCGGUUUAAGCGUGUAGGCUGGUUUUCCAGGCAAAUCCGGAAAAUCAAGGCUGAGGCGUGAUGACGAGGCACUACGGUGCUGAAGCGACAAAUGCCCUGCUUCCAGGAAAAGCCUCUAAGCAUCAGGUAACAUCAAAUCGUACCCCAAACCGACACAGGUGGUCAGGUAGAGAAUACCAAGGCGCUUGAGAGAACUCGGGUGAAGGAACUAGGCAAAAUGGUGCCGUAACUUCGGGAGAAGGCACGCUGAUAUGUAGGUGAAGCGACUUGCUCGUGGAGCUGAAAUCAGUCGAAGAUACCAGCUGGCUGCAACUGUUUAUUAAAAACACAGCACUGUGCAAACACGAAAGUGGACGUAUACGGUGUGACGCCUGCCCGGUGCCGGAAGGUUAAUUGAUGGGGUUAGCGGUAACGCGAAGCUCUUGAUCGAAGCCCCGGUAAACGGCGGCCGUAACUAUAACGGUCCUAAGGUAGCGAAAUUCCUUGUCGGGUAAGUUCCGACCUGCACGAAUGGCGUAAUGAUGGCCAGGCUGUCUCCACCCGAGACUCAGUGAAAUUGAACUCGCUGUGAAGAUGCAGUGUACCCGCGGCAAGACGGAAAGACCCCGUGAACCUUUACUAUAGCUUGACACUGAACAUUGAGCCUUGAUGUGUAGGAUAGGUGGGAGGCUUUGAAGUGUGGACGCCAGUCUGCAUGGAGCCGACCUUGAAAUACCACCCUUUAAUGUUUGAUGUUCUAACGUGGGCCCCUUACCGGGGUUGCGGACAGUGUCUGGUGGGUAGUUUGACUGGGGCGGUCUCCUCCUAAAGAGUAACGGAGGAGCACGAAGGUUGGCUAAUCCUGGUCGGACAUCAGGAGGUUAGUGCAAUGGCAUAAGCCAGCUUGACUGCGAGCGUGACGGCGCGAGCAGGUGCGAAAGCAGGUCAUAGUGAUCCGGUGGUUCUGAAUGGAAGGGCCAUCGCUCAACGGAUAAAAGGUACUCCGGGGAUAACAGGCUGAUACCGCCCAAGAGUUCAUAUCGACGGCGGUGUUUGGCACCUCGAUGUCGGCUCAUCACAUCCUGGGGCUGAAGUAGGUCCCAAGGGUAUGGCUGUUCGCCAUUUAAAGUGGUACGCGAGCUGGGUUUAGAACGUCGUGAGACAGUUCGGUCCCUAUCUGCCGUGGGCGCUGGAGAACUGAGGGGGGCUGCUCCUAGUACGAGAGGACCGGAGUGGACGCAUCACUGGUGUUCGGGUUGUCAUGCCAAUGGCACUGCCCGGUAGCUAAAUGCGGAAGAGAUAAGUGCUGAAAGCAUCUAAGCACGAAACUUGCCCCGAGAUGAGUUCUCCCUGACUCCUUGAGAGUCCUGAAGGAACGUUGAAGACGACGACGUUGAUAGGCCGGGUGUGUAAGCGCAGCGAUGCGUUGAGCUAACCGGUACUAAUGAACCGUGAGGCUUAACCUU